rnacentral:rRNA from 1 species
GGAUAACCUACCCUUAGGACUGGGAUAACCUUGGGAAACUGAGGAUAAUACCGGAUAGGCAAUUUUUCCUGUAAUGGUUCUUUGUUUAAAUGUUUUUUCGCCUAAGGAUGGGUCUGCGGCCGAUUAGGUAGUUGGUUAGGUAAUGGCUUACCAAGCCGUUGAUCGGUACGGGUUGUGAGAGCAAGAGCCCGGAGAUGGAACCUGAGACAAGGUUCCAGGCCCUACGGGGCGCAGCAGGCGCGAAACCUCCACAAUGUGAGAAAUCGCGAUGGGGGGAUCCCAAGUGCCAUUCUUAACGGGAUGGCUUUUCAUUAGUGUAAAAAGCUUUUGGAAUAAGAGCUGGGCAAGACCGGUGCCAGCCGCCGCGGUAACACCGGCAGCUCCAGUGGUAGCAACUUUUAUUGGGCCUAAAGCGUCCGUAGCCGGUUUAAUAAGUCUCUGGUGAAAUCCUGUAGCUUAACUGUGGGAAUUGCUGGAGAUACUAUUAGACUUGAGACCGGGAGAGGUUGGAGGUACUCCCAGGGUAGAGGUGAAAUUCUGUAAUCCUGGGAGGACCGCCUGUUGCGAAGGCGUCUAACUGGAACGGUUCUGACGGUGAGGGACGAAAGUUAGGGGCGCGAACCGGAUUAGAUACCCGGGUAGUCCUAACUGUAAACGAUGCGGACUUGGUGUU